GGGGCAUUAUGAGAAAUGAACUCGGAGCCUCUCGAACACUAAGCGAGAAUCAUACCACUAGACCAAAUGUCC
rnacentral:tRNA from 1 species